AUGUAUUUAGAAAUAUUGUGACUUAUCCGUCCAGUUUUUCAUCAAACAUUCCAUUAUUUAUAUAAGUUAUUGACAGUGUUUAGUGCUUAUGAUGUCUAGAGAACCAUCAAAUCGUCCACCAUAAAACUGUUAUAUACUUCACUCCUUCAUGGUCAUGCUAUGAAUUAAUUUAUUUUCCUUGGUACCAAUUUUCUUGGAUUGCGGAAAACUUGCCUUUUCAUGGAUAUUUGAUUUCAUUGUUUUGCUGAAGUCUGCUUACAACAUAAAAGAUUAAUUUAUUUGUGGUUCACCUGUACCCACAAAAACCAUGAAAUUGGUACCUUCUGCUGUUGUCUGUUCUAUGGUCAGGUUGUUGUCUCUUUGACACAUUCCCCAUUUCCAUACUCAAUUUUAUCCAACGAAUAAUAAUGAAUCCACAGUAUAUAGAUUUUGGAACUCGUGGGAACUAUAUAAAGCAAACAUACAAACCCUGAAAGUGAAAUGAAUUAUAAUGUGUCACUUUCAGGGUUUGUAUGUUUGCUUUAUAUAGUUGCCACGAGUUCCAAAAUCUAUAUACUGUGGAUUCAUUAUUAUUCGUUGGAUAAAAUUGAGUAUGGAAAUGGGGAAUGUGUCAAAGAGACAACAACCUGACCAUAGAACAGACAACAGCAGAAGGUACCAAUUUCAUGGUUUUUGUGGGUACAGGUGAACCACAAAUAAAUUAAUCUUUUAUGUUGUAAGCAGACUUCAGCAAAACAAUGAAAUCAAAUAUCCAUGAAAAGGCAAGUUUUCCGCAAUCCAAGAAAAUUGGUACCAAGGAAAAUAAAUUAAUUCAUAGCAUGACCAUGAAGGAGUGAAGUAUAUAACAGUUUUAUGGUGGACGAUUUGAUGGUUCUCUAGACAUCAUAAGCACUAAACACUGUCAAUAACUUAUAUAAAUAAUGGAAUGUUUGAUGAAAAACUGGACGGAUAAGUCACAAUAUUUCUAAAUACAU
rnacentral:lncRNA from 1 species